GACGAACGCUGGCGGCGUGCUUAACACAUGCAAGUCGAACGAUGAAGCCGGAGCUUGCUCUGGUGAAUUAGUGGCGAACGGGUGAGUAACACGUGAGUAACCUGCCCUUGACUCUGGGAUAACUGCGGGAAACUGUAGCUAAUACCGGAUACGACCCUCGGAGGCAUCUCCUGGGGGUGGAAAGAAUUUCGGUCAAGGAUGGACUCGCGGCCUAUCAGCUAGUUGGUGAGGUAAAGGCUCACCAAGGCGACGACGGGUAGCCGGCCUGAGAGGGUGACCGGCCACACUGGGACUGAGAAACGGCCCAGACUCCUACGGGAGGCAGCAGUGGAGAAUAUUGCACAAUGGGCGCAAGCCUGAUGCAGCAACGCCGCGUGAGGGAUGACGGCCUUCGGGUUGUAAACCUCUUUCAGCAGGGAAGAAGCGAAAGUGACGGUACCUGCAGAAAAAGCACCGGCUAACUACGUGCCAGCCGCCGCGGUAA
rnacentral:rRNA from 1 species